rnacentral:rRNA from 1 species
AUGACUGCCUUCGGGUUGUAAACCUCUGUUGAGUGGGAAGAAACUUUGUGCCGUUAAUAGCGGUAUGAACUGACGGUACCGCUCGAGGAAGCCCCGGCGAACUACGUGCCAGCAGCCGCGGUAAUACGUAGGGGGCGAGCGUUGUUCGGAAUUACUGGGCGUAAAGAGAGCGUAGGCGGGAGAGUAAGUUAGGAGUGAAAUGCAUGGGCUUAACCCAUGGUCCGCUCUUAAUACUGCUUUCCUUGAGUGUAGGAGGGGAAAGCGGAAUUCCGGGUGUAGCGGUGGAAUGCGUAGAUAUCCGGAAGAAUAUCAAUGGCGAAGGCUGCUUUCUGGCCUAUUACUGACGCUGAGGCUCUAAAGCUAGGGGAGCGAACAGGAUUAGAUACCCUGGUAGUCCUAGCCGUAAACGUUGGGCACUGGAUGUUGGAGGGUUUCCCUUCAGUGUCGUAGCUAACGCGAUAAGUGCCCCGCCUGGGGAGUACGCCCGCAAGGGUGAAACUCAAAGGAAUUGACGGGGGCCCGCACAAGCGGUGGAGCAUGUGCUUUAAUUCGAUGAUACGCGAGGAACCUUACCUGGGUUUGACAUGGGAGUGAAAGCCGCCAGAGAUGGUGGCCCUUCUCUUCGGAGAACGCUCCACACAGGUGCUGCAUGGUUGUCGUCAGCUCGUGUCGUGAGAUGUUGGGUUAAGUCCCAUAACGAGCGCAACCCUUGCCCUUAGUUGCCAGCGGUUCGGCCGGGCACUCUAAGGGGACUGCCUGGUAUUUCCAGGAGGAAGGGGAGGAUGACGUCAAAUCAUCAUGGCCCUUAAGCCCAGGGCUAGACACGUGCUACAAUGGCCGGUACAAAGGGAUGCAAUGCCGCGAGGCUGAGCAAAUCCCUAAAACCGGUCUCAGUUCGGAUUGGAGUCUGCAAUUCGACUCCAUGAAGUUGGAAUCGCUAGUAAUCGCGGAUCAGAAUGUCGCGGUGAAUAUGUUCCCGGGCCUUGUACACACCGCCCGUCAAGCCACGAAAGAGGACAAUGCCUGAAGUCAUUA